UAACUGUCUCGGGUAACCGCGGGUUUUAUAAAUCCGAGGAAAGUCCGAGCUCCAUAGGGCAGGAUGCUGGAUAACGUCCAGGGGGGGCGACCCCACGGAAAGUGCCGCAGAAAAGGAAUCGGCAUCUUUGGCUGUGCCGAAGAUGUUAGAGCUGAAAAGGUGCGGUAAGAGCGCACCAGCGGUCGGGGAACCGGCCGGCUUGGCAAACCCCAUCCGGAGCAAGACCAAAUAGGGAAGAAAUGAAGCGGCCCGCUUCUCUUCCGGGUUGGUCGCUGGAGGCGUCGGGCAACCGCCGUCGUAGAUAAAUGGUUACCGCUAUCUGUCCUUUUGGACAGCUAACACAGAACUCGGCUUAUAGAGACAGUUAUUUU
rnacentral:RNase_P_RNA from 1 species